rnacentral:rRNA from 1 species
AGGAUAAACGACCGGCGGCGUGCCUAACACAUGCAAGUCGAACGCCCUCCACGCAAGUGAGGGAGGUGGCGGACGGGUGGAGGAACACGUGGAUACCUACCCCCUCGGUGAGGAAUACCGGCGAGAAAUCGCCGACAAUACCGCAUACGCUUCGUAAGAAGCAAAGCCUUCGUAAGAGGGCGCCAGAGGAUGGGUCUGCGCCUGAUUAGCCGGUUGGUGGGGUAAUGGCCUACCAAAGCGACGAUCAGUAGCUGGUCUGAGAGGACGAUCAGCCACACUGGGAUUGAGAACGGCCCAGACUCCUACGGGGGGCAGCAGUGAGGAAUUUUCGGCAAUGGACGCAAGUCUGACCGAGCAACGCCGCGUGCAGGAUGACGGCCUUGGGUUGUAAACUGCUUUUCCCAGGGACGAGCAAGGACGGUACCUGGGGAACAACGCCCGGCUAACUACGUGCCAGCAGCCGC